GUGGGGAAUAUUGGACAAUGGGCGAAAGCCUGAUCCAGCAAUGCCGCGUGGAUGAAGAAGGUCUUCGGAUUGUAAAGUCCUUUCGGCGGGGACGAUGAUGACGGUACCCGCAGAAGAAGCCCCGGCUAACUUCGUGCCAGCAGCCGCGGUAAUACGAAGGGGGCUAGCGUUGCUCGGAAUGACUGGGCGUAAAGGGCGCGUAGGCGGUUUGGACAGUUGGGUGUGAAAUUCCCGGGCUUAACCCGGGGACUGCGCUCGAUACAUCCAGACUGGAGUGAGGAAGAGGGUCGUGGAAUUCCCAGUGUAGAGGUGAAAUUCGUAGAUAUUGGGAAGAACACCGGUGGCGAAGGCGGCGACCUGGUCCUUUACUGACGCUGAGGCGCGAAAGCGUGGGGAGCAAACAGGAUUAGAAACCCGAGUAGUCC
rnacentral:rRNA from 1 species